rnacentral:lncRNA from 1 species
CCCCAUUUUUUGGUCUUUUGUUCAAUUUGGUUUUUUCUUACUUUAUUCAGUUUUUUUAUUUUUUUUAAUAUACUGUUACUCAUUUGUUAUUACUAUUAUCACUUAUUAUUAUACUAAUACUAUUUAUGAUUUUCGUGUACGUAUAUAUACAUAUUGUUUUAUAUUUCAAUUUUUUUUGUUUUGCAAACGCAUAACUUUUAUUAUUUUCUUUUCAUAUUUUCAUUACUAGCAUAU